rnacentral:tRNA from 1 species
UUGAGGGCCUGGAGUUCGGUGAAGGAGCCACCGGCGCCGAUGGUGUCGGCGAUCAGCAUGGCGAGGCUGGUGCGCAGUUCGUACUCCCCGGCCAUCGGA